rnacentral:rRNA from 1 species
UACGAAGGGGGCUAGCGUUGCUCGGAAUCACUGGGCGUAAAGCGCACGUAGGCGGCUUCUCAAGUCAGGGGUGAAAUCCUGGAGCUCAACUCCAGAACUGCCUUUGAUACUGAGGGGCUCGAGUCCGGGAGAGGUGAGUGGAACUGCGAGUGUAGAGGUGAAAUUCGUAGAUAUUCGCAAGAACACCAGUGGCGAAGGCGGCUCACUGGCCCGGUACUGACGCUGAGGCGCGAAAGCGUGGGGAGCGAACAGG